GGCCUAAAUGCAGUCGCAGGAGAAAGGGGAGCAAUCCCUGAGUACAGUGGCGCACGGGUGAGUAACACGUGACUAAUCUACCCUCGAGUGGGGAAUAACUGAGAGAAAUCUUAGCUAAUACCGCAUAACACUUACGAGUCAAAGCAGCAAUGCGCUUGGGGAGGAGGUCGCGGCCGAUUAGCUAGUUGGCGGGGUAAUGGCCCACCAAGGCGAUGAUCGGUAUCCGGCCUGAGAGGGCGCACGGACACACUGGAACUGAAACACGGUCCAGACUCCUACGGGAGGCAGCAGUGGGGAAUUUUGCGCAAUGGGGGAAACCCUGACGCAGCAACGCCGCGUGGAGGAUGAAGUAUCUUGGUACGUAAACUCCUUUCGAUGGGGAAGAUAAUGACGGUACCCAUAGAAGAAGCCCCGGCUAACUUCGUGCCAGCAGCCGCGGUAAUACGAGGGGGGCAAGCGUUGUUCGGAUUUAUUGGGCGUAAAGGGUGCGUAGGCGGUUUGGCAAGUCUUAUGUGAAAUCUUCGGGCUCAACCCGAAGCCUGCAUAAGAAACUGCCGGGCUUGAGUAUGGGAGAGGUGAGUGGAAUUUCCGGUGUAGCGGUGAAAUGCGUAGAUUC
rnacentral:rRNA from 1 species